rnacentral:rRNA from 1 species
AGUGAACGCUGGCGGUAGGCCUAACACAUGCAAGUCGAACGGCAGCACAGUAAGAGCUUGCUCUUACGGGUGGCGAGUGGCGGACGGGUGAGGAAUACAUCGGAAUCUACUUUUUCGUGGGGGAUAACGUAGGGAAACUUACGCUAAUACCGCAUACGACCUACGGGUGAAAGCAGGGGAUCUUCGGACCUUGCGCGAUUGAAUGAGCCGAUGUCGGAUUAGCUAGUUGGCGGGGUAAAGGCCCACCAAGGCGACGAUCCGUAGCUGGUCUGGGAGGAUGAUCAUCCACACUGGGACUGAGACACGGUCCAGACUCCGACGGGGGGCAGCAGUGGGGAAUAUUGGACAAUGGGCGCAAGCCGGAUCCAGCCAUACCGCGUGGGGGAAGAAGGCCUUCGGGUUAAAGCCCUUUUGUUGGGAAGGAAAAGCAGCAGGUUAAUACCCCGCUGUUCUGACGGUACCCAAAGAAUAAGCACCGGCUAACUUCGUG